rnacentral:rRNA from 2 species
GGGCCCGCACAAGCAGUGGAGUAUGUGGUUUAAUUCGAAGCAACGCGAAGAACCUUACCAAGCCUUGACAUCUCCUGCAUAGCCCAGAAACGGGUGAAGUCCUUCGGGACAGGAAGACAGGUGGUGCAUGGUUGUCGUCAGCUCGUGUCGUGAGAUGUUGGGUUAAGUCCCGCAACGAGCGCAACCCUUACUGAUAGUUACUACGAGAAGAGGACUCUAUCGGGACUGCCGUUGACAAAACGGAGGAAGGUGGGGAUGACGUCAAAUCAUCAUGCCCUUUAUGGCUUGGGCUACACACGUACUACAAUGGCCGUAAACAACGUGGACCAAAGGGGCGACCCGGAGGGAAGUCAAUAAAAACGGUACUCAGUUCGGAUUGGAGGCUGCAACUCGCCUCCAUGAAGUCGGAAUUGCUAGUAAUCGCGGAUCAGCACGCCGCGGUGAAUACG